GAUGAACGCUGGCGGCGUGCCUAACACAUGCAAGUCGAACGGGGAAUAGCAAUAUUCCUAGUGGCGAACGGGUGAGCAACGCGUAGACAACCUGCCUUCUAGACGGGGACAACGUUCCGAAAGGAGCGCUAAUACCGGAUGAGGUGUCUUGGGUGCAUACCUGAGACAAGAAAGGUGGCCUCUGAAUAUGCUACCGCUAGAAGAUGGGUCUGCGUCUGAUUAGCUAGUUGGUGGGGUAAAGGCUCACCAAGGCGACGAUCCGUAGCUGGUCUGAGAGGACGACCAGCCACACUGGAACUGAGACACGGUCCAGACUCCUACGGGAGGCAGCAGUGGGGAAUUUUGGACAAUGGGCGAAAGCCUGAUCCAGCCAUUCCGCGUGAGUGAAGAAGGCCUUCGGAUCGUAAAACUCUGUUGUUAGGGAAGAACAAAUUUGUUAGUAACUGAACAAGUCUUGACGGUACCUAACCAGAAAGCCACGGCUAACUACGUGCCAGCCGCCGCAGUAA
rnacentral:rRNA from 1 species